GUGAAUCAUCGAAUUUUUGAACGCAAAUUGCACUCUCUGCGGAUAGGAUGCGUGUUUGAGUGUCAGGCUAAAAAAAAUCAACAUAUUCGCUGUUUUUCGGUUACAUUCGUCGGAAAUUUGGUCAUCUUAAACGUUUGGUUUUUAAGCGUGGUAGAAUUUCCUUUACGGUUCCACGAACGUUUCUAAUAUUGACUUCUUACACAUUUAUGGUAAUCGAUCUUUAUUGGACGUGACC
rnacentral:misc_RNA from 1 species